UACAUAACAGACUGAUUUUAUCCACAAAAAAGAGGUGGAGGGGUUUGUAAAUGACAAACAUAAUAGUAUGGAUUUUAGGUGCCAAGAAAUGGACAUUUUGUCUUCUAAAUCAGGAAGCACCACUAUUUGUACAAAGGCCAUAUCAUCGCACAACGGUUUCAUAAGUUUCACUAUUUCUCUUUGAUUUAUUCAUAGCAUGGCUAGAUAGAUGAGAUCUUGAACUUGCAUAACUUAUAGUCUAUUGGUAAUGAGCAUAAGCUAGAAAUUAAACAAAUAUCUAGAAGUUAAAGCACUAUUAGUAUGCAUUUACUAUUAAUUGGAAUAGUCUAUUGGUAAUGAGCAUAAGCUAGAAUUUAAACAAAUAUCUAGAAGAUAAAGCACUAUUGAUAUGCAUUUACUAUUAAUUGGAAUUUACUCUUUAAAAAGGAAAAAAAGGUGAUGACGAUUAUGUGUGCAUUACUUUCACCUAAAGCUAUGUUGUGUGACUCCUAAAAAGCCUCGCCGUGUCGACACUACAUGGGUGUGAGUGUAGAAUAUACACUAGAUUUGGACAACUUACUAUGGGUGCUUUAACUAUAUCUAUGACCGAGAAGUAUUGAUUGAUCGGGUAUCUGGUUUGAUUUUGUGGGUUUAUGUCAUAUAUAUUAUGAAGAAUUUAUUACGUGUUUAUAAAGAAUUAAACUUUACUAUUAAUCUUUGUUCACUAACUUUAAUUAAUAGAAACAUAUACUUAUAAAUGUCUGUAACGUGCAUAUAUUAGCCGUAUCUAAGUACCCGUAUUUGCACUCGGAUCCAUAACCCCAAAUUCUAAAACUCAUGUGAUGAAGAAGCAGACCGCUAGAUCUGCACUCAUAUAUCCACACCUGAGUUUGAGCAAUUAGGAUCAAAAUAGAACUAAAGCAGAGCAAUAUUGUUCCAUGCUGAUUUCAGUACACGGAUGAUUUAUUCGUCCAAGUAUGUAUGCUGAUUCACUGCAACACCCGCAACUCUGCAUUAUUACACCAGUUUGACCAUGCUGUAGAGAGAAUAGUUGGAAGCAGUGUCAGCUCUAGCUUUAGUUCAUCUACUUUUUUCUCCUACAGUAUCUGCACUUUCUUCAAUUAAGAAAAAAUGUGCAAUGGCUGUGAGAUAAACUGCGGCUACGGGUAAAAGUAGAACUAGAGACAUCGUGGCCAUGUUGACUGUUGUGUUUAAGUUUUGAAUUCAUUAACUGCAGAAAACCUUAAAGUUGCUAAGAGGAAAUUAGUGAAACAUAGACAUUUGUGGGAUACACUGGGUUUAUUGUUGUUUGUUGUUGUUUUUAUACAUGUUUGUGGCUUGGGUUUAUACAAGAAGAAUUUGCAUCUUAAACUUGAUUCUUUGUGAUGUGAAUUGCUAUUGUCAUGUUGCCUAUUUAAGUACUAUAUGUGAUUUCAACUAAU
rnacentral:lncRNA from 1 species